GACGAACGCUGGCGGCGUGCUUAACACAUACAAGUCGAACGGAAAGGCCCUGCUUUUGUGGGGUGCUCGAGUGGCGAACGGGUGAGUAACACGUGAGUAACCUGCCCUUGACUUUGGGAUAACUUCAGGAAACUGGGGCUAAUACCGGAUAGGAGCUCCUGCUGCAUGGUGGGGGUUGGAAAGUUUCGGCGGUUGGGGAUGGACUCGCGGCUUAUCAGCUUGUUGGUGGGGUAGUGGCUUACCAAGGCUUUGACGGGUAGCCGGCCUGAGAGGGUGACCGGCCACAUUGGGACUGAGAUACGGCCCAGACUCCUACGGGAGGCAGCAGUGGGGAAUAUUGCACAAUGGGCGGAAGCCUGAUGCAGCAACGCCGCGUGCGGGAUGACGGCCUUCGGGUUGUAAACCGCUUUCGCCUGUGACGAAGCGUAAGUGACGGUAAUGGGUAAAGAAGCACCGGCUAACUACGUG
rnacentral:rRNA from 1 species